rnacentral:rRNA from 1 species
GGACCUGACUGCUAUCGGAUUGAUACUAAGCCAUGCGAGUCAUUGUAGCAAUACAAGGCAGACGGCUCAGUAACGCGUAGUCAACCUACCCUAUGGACGGGAAUAAACUCGGGAAACUGAGUAUAAUGCCCGAUAGAACAUUAUGCCUGGAAUGGUUUAUGUUUCAAAUGAUUUAUCGCCGUAGGAUGGGACUGCGGCCUAUCAGUUUGUUGGUGAGGUAAUGGCCCACCAAGACUAUUACAGGUACGGGCUCUGAGAGGAGUGGCCCGGAGAUGGGUACUGAGACACGGACCCAGGCCCUAUGGGGCGCAGCAGGCGAGAAAACUUUGCAAUGUGCGAAAGCACGACAAGGUUAAUCCGAGUGGUUUCUGCUAAAGGAACCUUUUGUCAGUCCUAGAAACACUGGUGAAUAAGGGGUGGGCAAGUUCUGGUGU